rnacentral:rRNA from 1 species
AAAGAGUUCUAUAACUCCCAAACCCAUGUGAACAUACCUAACGUUGCCUCGGCAGGUCGCACCUACCUUGUAGCACCCUACCCUGUAGGGCCUACCCGGGAGGUGCGGGUAAGCCUGCCGGCGGCCCACCAAACUCUGUUUGAUAUUGAAUUCUGAACCUAUAACUAAAUAAGUUAAAACUUUCAACAACGGAUCUCUUGGUUCUGGCAUCGAUGAAGAACGCAGCGAAAUGCGAUAAGUAAUGUGAAUUGCAGAAUUCAGUGAAUCAUCGAAUCUUUGAACGCAUAUUGCGCCCAUUAGUAUUCUAGUGGGCAGGACCGUUCGAGCGUCAUUUCAACCCUUAAGCCUUCGUUGCUUAGUGUUGGGAGCCUACGGCAACGUAGCUCCUCAAAGUUAGUGGCGGAGUUGGUUCACACUCUAGACGUAGUAAUUUUUUAUCUCGCCUAUUAGUUGGACUAAUCCCCUGCCGUAAAACCCCCAAUUUAUCAAGGUUGACCUCGAAUCGGUUCAGACAAACUCGCUAAAUUGAAGCAUCUUAGUCAGCGAAGGAAAAGAAACCAACAGGGAUUGCCCUAGUAACGGCGAGUGAAGCGGCAACAGCUCAAAUUUGAAAUCUGGCCCUCGGGUCCGAGUUGUAAUUUGUAGA